GACGAACGCUGGCGGCGCGCUUAACACAUGCAAGUCGAACGGAAAGGCCCUGCUUUUGUGGGGUGCUCGAGUGGCGAACGGGUGAGUAACACGUGAGUAACCUGCCCUUGACUUUGGGAUAACUUCAGGAAACUGGGGCUAAUACCGGAUAGGAGCUCCUGCUGCAUGGUGGGGGUUGGAAGGUUUCGGCGGUGGGGGAUGGACUCGCGGCUUAUCAGCUUUUUGGUGUGGUAGUGGCUUACAAAGGCUUUGAGGGGUAGCCGGCCUGAGAGGGUGACCGGCCACAUUGGGACUGAGAUACGGACCAGACUCCUACGGGAGGCAGCAGUGGGGAAUAUUGCACAAUGGGCGGAAGCCUGAUGCAGCAACGCCGCGUGCGGGAUGACGGCCUUCGGGUUGCAAACCGCUUUCGCCUGUGACGAAGCGUGAGUGACGGUAAUGGGUAAAGAAGCACCGGCUAACUACGUG
rnacentral:rRNA from 1 species